AUUGAACGCUGGCGGCAUGCUUUACACAUGCAAGUCGAACGGUAACAGGGUGCUUGCACCGCUGACGAGUGGCGAACGGGUGAGUAAUGCGUCGGAACGUGCCGAGUAGUGGGGGAUAACGCAGCGAAAGUUGUGCUAAUACCGCAUACGUACUGAGGUAGAAAGUGGGGGACCUUCGGGCCUCACGCUAUUCGAGCGGCCGACGUCUGAUUAGCUAGUAGGUGAGGUAAGAGCUCACCUAGGCGACGAUCAGUAGCGGGUCUGAGAGGAUGAUCCGCCACACGGGGACUGAGAAACGGCCCAGACUCCUACGGGAGGCAGCAGCGGGGAAUUUUGGACAAUGGGCGCAAGCCUGAUCCAGCCAUGCCGCGUGUCUGAAGAAGGCCUUCGGGUUGUAAAGGACUUUUGUCAGGGAGGAAAUCCUAGUGGCUAAUAACUGCUGGGGAUGACAGUACCUGAAGAAUAAGCACCGGCUAACUACGUGCCAGCAGCCGCCGUAACAC
rnacentral:rRNA from 1 species